rnacentral:rRNA from 1 species
AAGAGUUUGAUCAUGGCUCAGAUUGAACGCUGGCGGCAGGCCUAACACAUGCAAGUCGAACGGUAACAGGAAGCAGCUUGCUGCUUCGCUGACGAGUGGCGGACGGGUGAGUAAUGUCUGGGAAACUGCCUGAUGGAGGGGGAUAACUACUGGAAACGGUGGCUAAUACCGCAUAACGUCGCAAGACCAAAGAGGGGGACCUUCGGGCCUCUUGCCAUCAGAUGUGCCCAGAUGGGAUUAGCUUGUUGGUGAGGUAACGGCUCACCAAGGCGACGAUCCCUAGCUGGUCUGAGAGGAUGACCAGCCACACUGGAACUGAGACACGGUCCAGACUCCUACGGGAGGCAGCAGUGGGGAAUAUUGCACAAUGGGCGCAAGCCUGAUGCAGCCAUGCCGCGUGUAUGAAGAAGGCCUUCGGGUUGUAAAGUACUUUCAGCGGGGAGGAAGGUGUUGUGGUUAAUAACCGCAGCAAUUGACGUUACCCGCAGAAGAAGCACCGGCUAACUCCGUGCCAGCAGCCGCGGUAAUACGGAGGGUGCAAGCGUUAAUCGGAAUUACUGGGCGUAAAGCGCACGCAGGCGGUCUGUCAAGUCGGAUGUGAAAUCCCCGGGCUCAACCUGGGAACUGCAUUCGAAACUGGCAGGCUUGAGUCUUGUAGAGGGGGGUAGAAUUCCAGGUGUAGCGGUGAAAUGCGUAGAGAUCUGGAGGAAUACCGGUGGCGAAGGCGGCCCCCUGGACAAAGACUGACGCUCAGGUGCGAAAGCGUGGGGAGCAAACAGGAUUAGAUACCCUGGUAGUCCACGCCGUAAACGAUGUCUACUUGGAGGUUGUGCCCUUGAGGCGUGGCUUCCGGAGCUAACGCGUUAAGUAGACCGCCUGGGGAGUACGGCCGCAAGGUUAAAACUCAAAUGAAUUGACGGGGGCCCGCACAAGCGGUGGAGCAUGUGGUUUAAUUCGAUGCAACGCGAAGAACCUUACCUGGUCUUGACAUCCACGGAAGUUUUCAGAGAUGAGAAUGUGCCUUCGGGAACCGUGAGACAGGUGCUGCAUGGCUGUCGUCAGCUCGUGUUGUGAAAUGUUGGGUUAAGUCCCGCAACGAGCGCAACCCUUAUCCUUUGUUGCCAGCGGUCAGGCCGGGAACUCAAAGGAGACUGCCAGUGAUAAACUGGAGGAAGGUGGGGAUGACGUCAAGUCAUCAUGGCCCUUACGACCAGGGCUACACACGUGCUACAAUGGCGCAUACAAAGAGAAGCGACCUCGCGAGAGCAAGCGGACCUCAUAAAGUGCGUCGUAGUCCGGAUUGGAGUCUGCAACUCGACUCCAUGAAGUCGGAAUCGCUAGUAAUCGUGGAUCAGAAUGCCACGGUGAAUACGUUCCCGGGCCUUGUACACACCGCCCGUCACACCAUGGGAGUGGGUUGCAAAAGAAGUAGGUAGCUUAACCUUCGGGAGGGCGCUUACCACUUUGUGAUUCAUGACUGGGGUGAAGUCGUAACAAGGUAACCGUAGGGGAACCUGCGGUUGGAUCACCUCCUUACCUGAAAGAAGC